GCAGAGGUAGCCAAGCCUGGUAAACGGAAACUGGAACGUGGGUCAGUUUAUCAGCCAAACGGCGCUGGACUUAAGAUCCAGUCUCGAAGGAGAUUGAAACGACGAGUCGUUUGGACCUGUUUCCGUGGGUUCGAAUCCCACCCUCUGCA
rnacentral:tRNA from 1 species